rnacentral:rRNA from 1 species
GGACCCGCACAAGCGGUGGAGCAUGUGGAUUAAUUCGAUACUAACCGAAGAACCUUACCCAGGUUUGACAUCGAGGGAAAGACUGUGAAAGCAGUCCCCCACCCACAAGGUGGCCCGAAGACAGAUGUUGCAUGGCUGUCGUCAGCUCGUGCCGUGAGGUGUACGGUUAAGUCCGCCAACGAGCGCAACCCCCGUCGUGUGUUACCAGCGAGUAAAGUCGGGAACUCACACGAGACCGCCGGUGUAAGCCGGAGGAAGGUGGGGAUGACGUCAAGUCAGCAUGGCUCUUACGCCUGGGGCUUCACACAUGCUACAAUGGGCGCAACAGAGGGAAGCGAUACCGUGAGGUGGAGCAAAUCCCAAAAAUACGCCCCCAGUUCAGAUUGCAGUCUGCAACUCGACUGCAUGAAGUCGGAAUCGCUAGUAAACGCAGGUCAGCUAUACUGCGUUGAAUACGUUCCCGGGUCUU